GAGGAGGUCCUGAAGUACCUGAGCAGACUGACGGAUAUUUAAUUUGGUUCUCUGCGGAGAAAUUCAUGAAGUGUCUGCAGAGUUUUAUUAGAGCGACGCUCCUGCUGUUCACAUAAACACUGAAACCAUCGUCCUGCUCUUUGUUUAUUCUCUCAGUGUGUCGGUACAGAGUGUUAGUGAGGCUGCAGGGUUACUGUCAUCGCUUCACUGAUGGAUCUAUACACUCUAUUUCUAUAUUUCUGUAGGCUUUCCUGUCUGUUGGCUCACAGUGGUCGUCCCAUAAUUGAGCGUCUAGGUUAUGAUGUGGCGGCGCCUCCUAUUGGACAGAAUUGCACUUGGCCAAAAUAUUGACGAUGUAGAGAACUGAUCGCCUCUUCAUGCUGAUCUGUAAAAGUCUACAGUAGUAACUUUGCAAACACGUAGGCUGCAACAGGAAGGCCUCAAACAAGCGCUUUUUUUUUGUUUUUAAAACGGAAAGGCAAGAUAAGCAAUGACUUCAUUUGUAUGAAAGGGGGCGCCAAAGUUGGCACAAAUUAAGAGUCACCCACAAGAGCUUUAAAGUACCAAAUCAUCAAUAGGUACACGCAGAUGUUUGCACUCUGAGGAAAUGAGGGCAAAUAUCAGAUAAAUGAAGAUAUUCAUAAAGUCCUUUUUUUAACUUACUGAUUGUCAUUGUAGUUUCUCUUUGAUUUAUUCAUCUUCUUUUUUGCCGUUCACAAUUUGUUUAUCAAGGAUUGACCGAGCAGUUCUUCUCUGUAAUGUGAUGAAAAUAAGGAAUAAAGAAGAAUAGAGAAUAAUGGCUCCUAUAUAUGCUGUGUUCUGCUUGUCACCAAUUCAUUUCUUCAAAAUUUCAGACACCUCUGACCGAAACCCCAACCCUCCCCCAUAAACAUUUUGGGUUAGCUGGAUUUCUUCACUCUUUCCUUCCAAACUCUUGGUCACCUCUGACUUUGUAUGAUGGACUGUUAACAGAGCCGAGCGCGUUAGAGGAAAUGUGUCGUUGAGUCUCUUUCACUCACUCUGGAAAGUUCAGCAUCUCUCCCAGAGGAGCUGGCGUUGUCAGAGGAUGGUGGAUGUUUCUCUGAGAUCGUCUGUCUUCCUGUCCUCUGCUCUCUGGGGAGAAGAGGUCUCUGAGGAAAUAUCAGUUUAUUUUCAGCGCUGAAUGAUUCUCGGCAUGUCUGCUGCUGUCGUCUCCAUCAGCUGUCAGACAGCUGGCGGCUGGUUUUCGGACAGGGUUGGUUUGACUUUGACAGGAAGUGUUACACGGCGAGCUUUCACACCGAGAUCACACAUCCAAGAAAGAGUUAAAAAGGCGAGUUUCUGCAGGUCUCAUCGGAUUAAAUGUUGUUUUUAACUGUUGUGAAGGUUUUUGUCAGUGUGUGUGUGCGUGUUAAUUUGUCCUUUUCUCAGUCCGAUGGAUGUUCAUAUCCAUAUGCAGCCGUUACUUCCUGUCUGGAUUUAUAGGCGCACUUUAACAGCAGCCAGAACCAUGACAUACCUGCAGACACUCAUAAAUAACAAAGUGCUGCUAAAUUUCUCUGACUUAAUUCAUCCCAUGAAGCUGUUCAGAGUAUCUUUUAAUCCUGUGAGGAGGUUUUUAUGUUGAAUCGUAAUCAUUAAUCAUUUUAAUUUAAAGUGGAGAGCCUGAAAAACUGAGGCUGAGUGAAAACAAGGCGGUUUCAUCAUGUGAUGAACAGAUCCUGUUUAUUCCCAUCUGCUCGCUGGUUGAACAGCAGUGAUGCUGCAGCAGAUGUCUCCAUCAUCAUCAUCAGCUCUCAAUCAUCAGCUCUACAUCAGCUCUAAAUAAGUCCAUUAAAAGGACAGGAUCAGACGGAGACGCAGACGAGACUGAGGAGACGCCGCCGCCGCCGCCGCCGCCGCCGCUGCUGCUGCUGCUGCUGCUUGACUGUGACGCUGCAGAAACACAGAGAGGGAGGCGGUCAGUCGGAGGAAAAACAGUCAGUCAGAUAAAAAACAGUCAGCCAGAAAAUUGCUCAGUCAAUAAAAACAGUCCGAUAAAAAACAGUCAGUCAGAUAAAAAACAGUCAGCCGGAGAAAAACAGUCAGUCAGAGAAAAAACAGUCAGUCAGAUAAAAACAGUCAGUCAGAUAAAAAACAGUCGGCUGGAGAAAAAACAGUCAGUCAGAGAAAAAACAGUCAGUCAGAUAAAAAAACAGUCAGUCAGAAAAAAAACAGUCAGCCGGAGAAAAACAGUCUGUCAGAAAAAAACGGUCAGUCAGAUAAAAAACAGUCAGAUAAAAAUCAGUCAGCCAGAGAAAAACAGUCUGUCAGAAAAAAAACAGUCAGUCAGAUAAAAAGCAGUCAGUCAGAAAAACAAUCAGUAAAAAAACAGUCAGUCAGUCAGAGGAAAAACAGUCAGUCAGAUAAAAAACAGUCAGUCAGUGAGAAAACGGUCAGUCAAAAACAGUCAGUCAGAUAAAAACAGUCAGUCAAAUAAAAAACAGUCAAUCACAGAAAAAACAGACAGUCAGACAAAAACAGGCAAUCAGGGAAAACAGUCAGACAGAGAAAAAAACAGUCAGUCUCUACUUCAGAGAGUCUCAGUUUUUCAGUCUCAGUUUCUCAGAGUCUCAGCUCCUCAGAGUCUCAGUUUCUCAGUCCCAGUUUCUAAGAGUCAAAGUCUCUCAGAGUCUCAGUUUCUCAGUCUCAGUUUCUCAGAGUCUCAGUUUCUCAGAGUCUCAGUUUCUCAGAGUCUCAGUCUCAGUUUCUCAGUUUCUCAGUUUCUCAGAGUCUCAGUUUCUCAGAGUCCCAGUUUGUCUGGAAAUCAUCUCUCAGAUCUUCGCUCUGGUUUCCUGUUUGUUUUCUUGUGAAAGCAGAUCAGACUCCAUCCCUCAAACCCGACCCCACAGAGGUUGUUGUUAUUUCCUGUAAACAGAGAUCACAGCAGACAUUUUUAAACACGUGAGUCUGAACCAAUCAGAGCGCAGUUUUCCUCUCAGUGAUUAUCUUUAUUCAUGGAAACGCUCAGAUGUCAGCUCGCUGUAGAUUCCUGUAACUAGAUGUUUUUUUUAAGUACUCUGACCUCGAGUGUGCUGCUGAAUAAAUAGCUCUUUUUUUUCUGUUUCCACGGUAACCAUUCAAUCGGGCUGGGAGAGAAACACUAAGUGAUUCUGUUUUGCUUUUAGCAGCGCUGCUCUAAUUAUUUUAUUCUAAUAGAAGCUGUCAGGGCGGUGGGAGGCCGGCCGCGGGUGAGGAUGAGGAUGAUGAUGAUGAUGAUGAUGAAGAAGUUGUGGGUCUAAAUACGGAGAAAGAGAGUGAUGAUCAUUAAUGAGACGGAAAGACAGGAGAUAAACCAGAAGAGGAGGUUUGAUUUACAGGACCGCCGUGAGAACCCUGACGUCAGACUGAUCCUCGAGAGAGUGUGUGUGUGUGUGUGUGUGUGUGUGUGUGUGUGUGUGUGCAGUUUUUUAACAGCUGAUGAAUUUACUACAGCAAUAAAACACACACACACACGUUUUAUGACUGCAGGUUUUUAAGCACCAGUUUGACACGCUUUCAUAAAUUUGAGAUGAAAAUAAGAUUCAAAAAGAAGCGUUCGAGUUUCAGGAGUCAGUAAGUCAGAGAAAUAUGAAAUAAAAUGGACUAAAGUGACGUAUGCAGGAGGUUCAGAACAGAUCAGCUGAUCUGAUCCGUGGACUCAUGAGGAGACUGUCACCUUCCUCAAACAGGAGAAUAACACAGAUAUUAAAUUUACAUCCUACGACACAAGAGAAAUAAGAGAAAGAAGGCAUGAACUCAUGGAUUCAUUUCCAUUCAAAUAACUAAGAACUUCAUCUCAUCCCAGUUUGAGUAGAAAUCAGGGCCGUUACAAUGAACUGGGUUUGAAGAUCACAGCCUGACGACUGAGCGGUUUUUUAAUAAAUGCCUUAAGAUUAAUAAUCUUAAAUUAUGACAUUUAUUAUGAAUUCAAAUCAUGACAUAUUAUUUUGGUGCCCCGUGUGAGGCAUUCAUGAUUAUUCAGAUGGUCAGUGAUAGAGUCAGUUUAAAAGUUAAUAAAAACGUGAACCUCUCGUUUUUUGUAACGGAGAGGUUGAAAUGUCCGUUCAUGAAAACUGUUGGGCAUGUGUAAACAUAAUCCUUGAGUCUCUUCAGGUCCAGAUUCAGGCCAGGAGCUUCAUUGGUUAAUUAGUUAAUUAGGAGCACCUGUGACCUCCCUCAGCUCGGUGUCAAUCAGCAGACACUGGGAGGUUAAAUGAGGAGGCUGAGCUCACCUGUUCAGGUGGAUUUUGUCUCCUUUAAUUCAAAGACAAAGGAAAUUUAGAGUUUGAUGUUCGUGUUUCUUCAGCGUCUGUCCAACAAUCAUUUACUUCCUCUUCCUGUUUUUGAGUCCAGAUCGGAGGAAAACCUUCACCACGGUCACCUUUAAGGACACAUGCUUUUAAACUUUGACUGACCCCUGACCUUCAGGUUCUACGUCUGGGGAAAAACAUAAACC